AUCAACCACAGUCCUCAGGGAUGGUUGAAAGAGUAAAUGGGGAAAUAAAAGCUACUUUGGCCUAAGUAUGUCAGCAAAAUAGGUUGUUGUGGCCAGACACCAUGCCCGUAGUGAUGUAUGC